rnacentral:rRNA from 1 species
AUUGAACGCUGGCGGCAUGCCUUACAUAUGCAAGUCGAACGGUAACAGGUCUUCGGAUGCUGACGAGUGGCGAACGGGUGAGUAAUACAUCGGAACGUGCCCGAUCGUGGGGGAUAACGGAGCGAAAGCUUUGCUAAUACCGCAUACGAUCUACGGAUGAAAGCAGGGGACCGCAAGGCCUUGCGCGGACGGAGCGGCCGAUGGCAGAUUAGGUAGUUGGUGGGAUAAAAGCUUACCAAGCCGACGAUCUGUAGCUGGUCUGAGAGGACGACCAGCCACACUGGGACUGAGACACGGCCCAGACUCCUACGGGAGGCAGCAGUGGGGAAUUUUGGACAAUGGGCGAAAGCCUGAUCCAGCCAUGCCGCGUGCAGGAUGAAGGCCUUCGGGUUGUAAACUGCUUUUGUACGGAACGAAAAGACUCUUUCUAAUAAAGAGGGUCCAUGACGGUACCGUAAGAAUAAGCACCGGCUAACUACGUG